UUUGGACUUCUUUUUUGGAAAUUUGCUUUUGAUUUUUAUGAUUAUUGUUUUAUGCAGAAUUCACACAGGUGGCAUUCCGUACUGCGAUUGGUUUUGUUGUGAUGGGGUUUGUUGGGUUCUUUGUCAAAUUGAUUUUCAUCCCUAUCAAUAACAUCAUUGUUGGAUCUGGUUAAGACAUUAGGAAAUAGAAGUUAUAUGGCUUUAAAGAGCAGAAGUUAGGAACCUGCAAGGAUGCUAAACUACACGGUCUCAGGCUUCUUCUUUGUGUAUCUUCUUUUUGGACAAAGCUCCUCAUCUGUUAAACAUAUUUAAGAGCAACAGUUAAAUUCAUUUUACUUUCUUUUUCUCUUUUAGGAAUAACAUUGAAAUUAGUUCCUUUUCUUUUUUCUGUUUACCCUUAAAUAUAGAGUGUAGAAGGGGUAACUCUCUCACCAGUUUCUGGUUCAAAUGUAUCUAUAUUUGAAGGUUUCGUUUGUUGGGUUUUUAAUUUUUGAGUUAGUAAGGUGCA